UAAAGCAUUUGCCAAGAACGUUUUCAUUAAUCAAGAACGAAAGUUAGGGGAUCGAAGAUGAUCAGAUACCGUCGUAGUCUUAACCAUAAACUAUGCCGACUAGGGAUCGGGUGUUGUCCUUUUUUUGGCGCACUCGGCACCUUACGAGAAAUCAAAGUUUUUGGGUUCUGGGGGGAGUAUGGUCGCAAGGCUGAAACUUAAAGGAAUUGACGGAAGGGCACCACCAGGAGUGGAGCCUGCGGCUUAAUUUGACUCAACACGGGGAAACUCACCAGGUCCAGACACAAUAAGGAUUGACAGAUUGAGAGCUCUUUCUUGAUUUUGUGGGUGGUGGUGCAUGGCCGUUCUUAGUUGGUGGAGUGAUUUGUCUGCUUAAUUGCGAUAACGAACGAGACCUUAACCUACUAAAUAGUGCUGCUAGCUUUUGCUGGUAUAGUCACUUCUUAGAGGGACUAUCGAUUUCAAGUCGAUGGAAGUUUGAGGCAAUAACAGGUCUGUGAUGCCCUUAGACGUUCUGGGCCGCACGCGCGCUACACUGACGGAGCCAGCGAGUAUCUACCUUGGCCGAGAGGUCUGGGAAAUCUUGUGAAACUCCGUCGUGCUGGGGAUAGAGCAUUGUAAUUAUUGCUCUUCAACGAGGAAUUCCUAG
rnacentral:rRNA from 1 species